UAGGGAAUUUUGCGCAAUGGGGGAAACCCUGACGCAGCAACACCGCGUGAAUGUUAAGCCCUUCGGGGUGUAAAGUUCUGUCAAUAGGGACGAAUUUUGACUGUACCUAUAAAGGAAGCACCGGCUAACUCCGUGCCAGCAGCCGCGGUAAUACGGGGGGUGCAAGCGUUGUCCGGAAUCAUUGGGCGUAAAGCGUUCGUAGGCGGUAAAGUAAGUCAGAUGUUAAAGCCCGGGGCUCAACUCCGGUUCGGCAUUUGAUACUACUUGACUAGAAUGCGGUAGAGGUAAAGGGAAUUCCUGGUGUAGCGGUGAAAUGCGUAGAUAUCAGGAGGAACAUCGGUGGCGAAAGCGCUUUACUGGGCCGUUAUUGACGCUGAGGAACGAAAGCCAGGGUAGCAAA
rnacentral:rRNA from 1 species